rnacentral:rRNA from 1 species
UACAGAGGUCUCAAGCGUUGUUCGGAUUCAUUGGGCGUAAAGGGUGCGUAGGCGGCGCGGUAAGUCGGGUGUGAAUCUCGGAGCUUAACUCCGAAACUGCAUUCGAUACUGCCGUGCUUGAGGACUGGAGAGGAGACUGGAAUUUGACGGUGUAGCGGUGAAAUGGCGUAGAUAUCGGGAGGAACGACCUGUGGCGGAAAGCGGCGCACUGGACCACAACAUGACGCUGAGGCGCGAAAGCUACGGGGAGCAAACAGG